rnacentral:rRNA from 1 species
GAUCAUGGCUCAGAUUGAACGCUGGCGGUAUGCCUAACACAUGCAAGUCGAGCGGGGUUUUCGGACCUAGCGGCGGACGGGUGAGUAAUGCGUAGGAAGCUACCCGAUAGAGGGGGAUACCAGUUGGAAACGACUGUUAAUACCGCAUAAUGUCUACGGACCAAAGUGUGGGACCUUCGGGCCACAUGCUAUCGGAUGCGCCUACGUGGGAUUAGCUAGUUGGUGGGGUAGUGGCUCACCAAGGCGACGAUCCCUAGCUGGUUUGAGAGGAUGAUCAGCCACACUGGAACUGAGACACGGUCCAGACUCCUACGGGAGGCAGCAGUGGGGAAUAUUGGACAAUGGGCGCAAGCCUGAUCCAGCCAUGCCGCGUGUGUGAAGAAGGCCUUCGGGUUGUAAAGCACUUUCAGCGAGGAGGAAGGGGUGAGUGUUAAUAGUACUCAUCUUUGACGUUACUCGCAGAAGAAGCACCGGCUAACUCUGUG